rnacentral:lncRNA from 1 species
CACUUUACUAUUGUGUUAUUUUAAAUAUUGGAAUUUACAAAAGUGUUAUUUUAAAUAUUAAUAUUUAAUAUUGCCUUAUGAAAAUUAUCUCAUAAUAUUUAAUAUUUUAUCUAAUUUUUAUUUUUUAUAAUAAAAUUAAGUAUGUCAAACCUUACGAAAUUGGAUUUUGGGGCUCUUGAUAUUUGACACGAGCUCUAGACGCUAAAAUCCAUUUAAACGCAGAAAGACGAUACUAUUAAAGAAGGAAAUAAAUCAUCUAAUCAACAAAAGGAAAAAG